rnacentral:rRNA from 1 species
UCCUACGGGAGGCAGCAGUAAGGAAUAUUGGUCAAUGGACGCAAGUCUGAACCAGCCAUGCCGCGUGGAGGAUGAAGGUCCUCUGGAUUGUAAACUUCUUUUAUCUGGGAAGAAACUACCGGGUAUUCUUUGGUGGUUGACGGUACCAGAUGAAUAAGCACCGGCUAACUCCGUGCCAGCAGCCGCGGUAAUACGGAGGGUGCAAGCGUUAUCCGGAUUCACUGGGUUUAAAGGGUGCGUAGGYGGGCAGGUAAGUCAGUGGUGAAAUCUCCGGGCUUAACUCGGAAACUGCCAUUGAUACUAUCUGUCUUGAAUACCGUGGAGGUCAGCGGAAUAUGUCAUGUAGCGGUGAAAUGCUUAGAUAUGACAUAGAACACCAAUUGCGAAGGCAGCUGGCUACACGAAUAUUGACGCUGAGGCACGAAAGCGUGGGGAUCAAACAGGAUUAGAUACCCUGGUAGUCCACGCCCUAAACGAUGGAUACUCGACAUACGGGGAGCCCCAGCGUGUGUCUGAGGGAACCGCUUUUU